rnacentral:lncRNA from 1 species
UUCUUCCAUCCUCCAAAAACUUAGAAAGGGAGGGAGUGAUCUAGAGCUAGAGGGAGAGGAGAAGAAGAAGAAAAGCUGUAAGAAACAUCAAAUUUUCAGUAAGAAAUUUAAUAUUUACUUUUAAAUGUAUUAAGGAGCAUUUCUAUAAUGAAAAUUAACGAUGUUUAAACUUAUGAUGUGCAUGGUUGAAUUUUAUGCCUAAAAAGAAGUAAUUUUAUAUGAUAAUGCAUGUUUUAUAAUCAUAUAUGAACUUGUUAAUUUGCCCGUGUAAUUUAUAUGAUCCGAUGGUCGAAAUAAAUGUUGAUAAGUGAUGAUAUUGACAAUAAAAAAUGAUUAAGCAAGAAAUGAUGUAUAAACAUGAGAAAUAUAUAUUGGUAUUGGCAUGCAUAAUUCAUAAGUGUUUCAUUAAACUUUUUAUCUACGAGGAGUUUCUAUUUCUCCCUCCAUCUAGUUUGAAAAGAUGUGAGAUGAGCACUUCCUGUGGAUGACGGCGUACCCUCUAACGAGAGUAAUAACGUGAUAUGAUUGUAGGGGUCACCUUUGACGAAAUAUGGUCGUGAUCAUAGUUAACAUGUAGGACCAUUGUGGUUGGCACGACCGUGAUCAUGAAUCGUGUCUUGAUCUAGCAAGCUGUAAAUGUGUUGUUGGUUUAGUAAGCCAUAAAUAUAUUGUUAGUUUAGCAAGCUGUAAAUGUAUUUUUGGUUUAAUAAGCCGUAAAUGUAUUGUUAGUUUGGCAAGCUGCAAAUUUUUGUUAUAAAGAAAAUGAAUUGGUCAUUUCAUAUGGGUAGCCGGGAAUUCAUAUUACCCUCAGUAGAUGAAAAUUGGAACGACUUCACAAACAUUACACGAAAGAAAGUAAAUAUUCAUGAUUUGUUUGAUUUCUCUAUUAUCAACUUUAUUGAUUUAACUGACAUAAGUAUGACAUAAUUGAUUCGAUGUUUUCUUUAAUAAAUAAAUAUUUUCAUAAUUUAAUGAAGGACCUUGAUAUGAUUCUUGAUGGUAAGCAAUGAUAAUACUUUAAAUUACCUUUAAAAUCUUAUAAUUUUAUUUAAAUACUAUUUUUCUUAAUGAGUAUAUGGAACUCACCCAUUUCCAUGUCCCCCCUCCAGAUGAGGAAGAUAGUGAGGAAUCGAUCGUUAACCUACCCCUGAAGUAUUUGAGGAUCCCGUGAAUUCAUAAACUUUUUUGAGUGCAUGACUUGUCUCGCACUCUAAUGAGUUCUUUUGCAUAAUGAUAGAAAUGAACAUUUUUGUAUUUUGAUAUUUUGUAUUUUGUUACCACUUCUGGUCUCAGUUAUAUAUGUAAUUGGGAACUCAUAUAUUUUGUAAGAGAUUUGUAAUAAAUUACUCUGCUGGAUACAUUAAAAUUAUUAUGUACUCGUAAUCUAUUUCUGUAUCUUACACCC